rnacentral:rRNA from 2 species
GACACUAAGGGACGAAAGCGUGGGGAGCAAACAGGAUUAGAUACCCUGGUAGUCCACGCCGUAAACGAUGAUCAUUAGUUGGUGGCAAAAGUCACUAACACAGCUAACGCGUUAAAUGAUCCGCCUGAGUAGUAUGCUCGCAAGAGUGAAACUUAAAGGAAUUGACGGGAACCCGCACAAGCGGUGGAGCAUGUGGUUUAAUUUGAAGAUACGCGUAGAACCUUACCCACUCUUGACAUUCUCGCAAAACUAUAGAGAUAUAGCCGAGGCUAACGAGAUCACAGAUGGUGCAUGGUUGUCGUCAGCUCGUGUCGUGAGAUGUUAGGUUAAGUCCUGCAACGAGCGCAACCCUUUUCUUUAGUUGCUAACAUUUAGUUGAGAACCCUAAAGAUACUGCCGGCGCAAGCCGGAGGAAGGUGGGGACGACGUCAAAUCAUCAUGCCUCUUACGAGUGGGGCAACACACGUGCUACAAUGGCUACUACAAAGAGCAGCAAAACAGUGAUGUCAAGCUAAUCUCAAAAAAGUAGUCUCAGUUCGGAUUGAAGUCUGCAACUCGACUUCAUGAAGUCGGAAUCGCUAGUAAUCGCAGGUCAGCUAUACUGCGGUGAAUACGUUCUCGGGUUUUGUACACACCGCCCGUCACACCAUGGGAGUUGGUAAUGCCCAAAGUCGGUGAGUUAACUUCGGAGACCAUUGCCUAAGGCAGGACCGAUGACUGGGGUGAAGUCGUAACAAGGUAUCCCUAC